AGGAGCUGGUCCUGCUGGCUGUCACCUACCCUGGAGGUAUCUAAUCUAAUCUAACCCUAACCAUACACAACACACUGGAGGAGCUGGUCCUGCUGGCUGUCACCUACCCUGGAGGUAUCUAAUCUAAUCUAACCCUAACCAUACACAACACACUGGAGGAGCUGGUCCUGCUGGCUGUCACCUACCGUGGAGGUAUCUAAUCUAACCCUAACCUAACUAUACACAACACACUGGAGGAGCUGGUCCUGCUGGCUGUCACCUACCGUGGAGGUAUCUAAUCUAACCCUAACCUAACUAUACACAACACACUGGAGGAGCUGGUCCUGCUGGCUGUCACCUACCCUGGAGGUAUCUAAUCUAACCCUAACCUAACCAUACACAACACACUGGAGGAGCUGGUCCUGCUGGCUGUCACCUACCCUGGAGGUAUCUAAUCUAACCCUAACCUAACUAUACACAACACACUGGAGGAGCUGGUCCUGCUGGCUGUCACCUACCCUGGAGGUAUCUAAUCUAACCCUAACCUAACCAUACACAACACACUGGAGGAGCUGGUCCUGCUGGCUGUCACCUACCGUGGAGGUAACUAAUCUAACCCUAACCUAACCAUACACAACACACUGGAGGAGCUGGUCCUGCUGGCUGUCACCUACUGUGGAGGUAUCUAAUCUAACCCUAACCUAACUAUACACAACACACUGGAGGAGCUGGUCCUGCUGGCUGUCACCUACCCUGGAGGUAUCUAAUCUAACCCUAACCUAACUAUACACAACACACUGGAGGAGCUGGUCCUGCUGGCUGUCACCUACCGUGGAGGUAUCUAAUCUAACCCUAACCUAACCAUACACAACACACUGGAGGAGCUGGUCCUGCUGGCUGUCACCUACCCUGGAGGUAUCUAAUCUAACCCUAACCUAACCACACCUAAUACAACACAACACACUGGAGGAGCUGGUCCUGCUGACUGUGACCUACCCUGGAGGUAUCUAAUCUAACCCUAACCUAACCAUACACAACACACUGGGGGAGCUGGUCCUGCUGGCUGUCACCUACCGUGGAGGUAUCUAAUCUAACCCUAACCUAACCAUACACAACACACUGGAGGAGCUGGUCCUGCUGGCUGUCACCUACCGUGGAGGUAUCUAAUCUAAUCUAACCCUAACCUAACCAUACACAACACACUGGAGGAGCUGGUCCUGCUGGCUGUGACCUACCCUGGAGGUAUCUAAUCUAACCCUAACCUAACCAUACACAACACACUGGAGGAGCUGGUCCUGCUGGCUGUCACCUACCGUGGAGGUAUCUAAUCUAACCCUAACCUAACCAUACACAACACACUGGGGGAGCUGGUCCUGCUGGCUGUCACCUACCAUGGAGGUAUCUAAUCUAACCCUAACCUAACCAUACACAACACACUGGAGGAGCUGGUCCUGCUGGUUGUCACCUACCCUGGAGGUAUCUAAUCUAACCCUAACCUUACCAUACACAACACACUGGAGGAGCUGGUCCUGCUGGUUGUCACCUACCCUGGAGGUAUCUAAUCUAAUCUAACCCUAACCUAACCAUACACAACACACUGGAGGAGCUGGUCCUGCUGGUUGUCACCUACCUAGGAGGUAUCUAAUCUAACCCUAACCUAACCAUACACAACACACUGGGGGAGCUGGUCCUGCUGGCUGUCACCUACCGUGGAGGUAUCUAAUCUAACCCUAACCUAACCAUACACAACACACUGGGGGAGCUGGUCCUGCUGGCUGUCACCUACCGUGGAGGUAUCUAAUCUAACCCUAACCUAACCAUACACAACACACUGGGGGAGCUGGUCCUGCUGGCUGUCACCUACCGUGGAGGUAUCUAAUCUAACCCUAACCUAACCAUACACAACACACUGGGGGAGCUGGUCCUGCUGGCUGUCACCUACCGUGGAGGUAUCUAAUCUAACCCUAACCUAACCAUACACAACACACUGGAGGAGCUGGUCCUGCUGGCUGUCACCUACCGUGGAGGUAUCUAAUCUAACCCUAACCUAACCAUACACAACACACUGGGGGAGCUGGUCCUGCUGGCUGUCACCUACCGUGGAGGUAUCUAAUCUAACCCUAACCUAACCAUACACAACACACUGGGGGAGCUGGUCCUGCUGGCUGUCACCUACCCUGGAGGUAUCUAAUCUAACCCUAACCUAACCAUACACAACACACUGGAGGAGCUGGUCCUGCUGGCUGUCACCUACCGUGGAGGUAUCUAAUCUAACCCUAACCUAACCAUACACAACACACUGGAGGAGCUGGUCCUGCUGGCUGUCACCUACCGUGGAGGUAUCUAAUCUAAUCUAACCCUAACCUAACCAUACACAACACACUGGAGGAGCUGGUCCUGCUGGUUGUCACCUACCUAGGAGGUAUCUAAUCUAAUCUAACCCUAACCAUACACAACACACUGGAGGAGCUGGUCCUGCUGGCUGUGACCUACCCUGGAGGUAUCUAAUCUAAUCUAACCCUAACCUAACCACACACAACACACUGGAGGAGCUGGUCCUG